AUUAGUUUGGAUUUGAAUGUUCUUUUUUUCCUUUUAGGCAAUAUGUCAAUAUGAGCACACCCAGACACCAGAGCUCUGUCAGGAAAAACAGUGGCUCUUACAAGUAACCGGAACAUAGAUCUGAAAUACUCCAGCAGAAACUCGAACAUGGCACAGACCAGGACAAGAGCUCUAUCAGAGAGAACUGCUGUUGGAGGAGCACUGAGUGUGUGCAACAGAUGGCUGUGGAGGGUGCUGAAUCACCAACAAAGAAUUGUGAGCCUCAGCCAGCUUCCAUCUGCCACCUGUACUUCCAUGUACUACUGCCAACCUUGAAAAGUUCAU
rnacentral:lncRNA from 1 species